UAGAUACUCCAUCCGUCCAAAAAAGUUUGUCCCUCAAAUGCAUGUAUCUAGCACCAAGUUAGUGCUAGAUACAAUUCAUUUGAGGGACAAGUUUUUUUGGAUGGAGGGGGUACCAA
rnacentral:pre_miRNA from 1 species